UGUCAGUCUCGUCGGUCACAGGGAAGAAAAGCCGUGUGGUCGACGGGACGGGCC
rnacentral:pre_miRNA from 1 species